CUUACUUGUUUGAUUCUGCUUGUUCGAGUUCUGUUAUUCACCCCUGGAAGCACAGCUCUUAUUACUUUUGAGAUUAAGUCAACUGCUUUCGUUCUUUUAUUGACUUGUUUGUCUCUCGCUUGGGGAGUUGGAUUACUCCUUUUGAGCUCAAGUCUCCUAGUGCGGGGGUGAUUCUUAUUACUGCUUUUUUGACCAUAUGUUGUAUCAAUAGCAUAGGUAGCGCUCUUGCUUGUAUCAAUAUUACAUGGGUAGUAUCAAUAACAGAGCAGCUGAGAGUUUCGAGCAGGGCCGAUACACUCUUUCGACACCAAUACUAGAACUCAAACCGGAAGCCCCGUCCAUGAUAUUAGACUUAGAUCACUGCUAACAGGGUCAAAGCCUAAUCUUGCUGGCAGAUCUUGAAACUUCUUCUUAUGCUUCAAAGCCAUAGUACUCUGAUUUUCUUCUCUUAACCUAUCAAACAGAUCCUCAUUAUGAUCCUGAUCUCGGAGACGGAAAAAGGACCUAAUAAGAUCGGAUUCCUUGCGCUUAGACCUGUGACCCCUGUGGAAAGAGAUAAAUACUUUGAUGAAGUAGACCUCGCUUCAAAUCAAAUACUCGAGUUUAGGCCCCUGUUUAAGAAGAGAGCCUCAUGAAGUUCAUAGUUG
rnacentral:lncRNA from 1 species